rnacentral:rRNA from 1 species
CGAGCGGCGAACGGGUGAGUAACACGUGAGUAAUCUGCCCUUGGCUUCGGGAUAGCCACCGGAAACGGUGAUUAAUACCGGAUACGACACAUCACUGCAUGGUGCGUGUGUGGAAAGUUUUUUCGGCCAGGGAUGUGCUCGCGGCCUAUCAGCUUGUUGGUGGGGUAAUGGCCUACCAAGGCUUCGACGGGUAGCCGGCCUGAGAGGGUGACCGGCCACACUGGGACUGAGACACGGCCCAGACUCCUACGGGAGGCAGCAGUGGGGAAUAUUGGACAAUGGGCGGAAGCCUGAUCCAGCAACGCCGCGUGAGGGAUGACGGCCUUCGGGUUGUAAACCUCUUUCAGCACAGACGAAGCGCAAGUGACGGUAUGUGCAGAAGAAGGACCGGCCAACUACGUGCCAGCAGCCGCGGUAAUACGUAGGGUCCGAGCGUUGUCCGGAAUUAUUGGGCGUAAAGGGCUCGUAGGCGGUUUGUCGCGUCGGGAGUGAAAACACCGGGCUUAACUCGGUGCUUGCUUUCGAUACGGGCAGACUAGAGGUAUUCAGGGGAGAACGGAAUUCCUGGUGUAGC